rnacentral:rRNA from 2 species
CUGGUAUUGAUUGGUGCUUGCAUCAUGAUUUACAUUUGAGUGAGUGGCGAACUGGUGAGUAACACGUGGGAAACCUGCCCAGAAGCGGGGGAUAACACCUGGAAACAGAUGCUAAUACCGCAUAACAACUUGGACCGCAUGGUCCGAGUUUGAAAGAUGGCUUCGGCUAUCACUUUUGGAUGGUCCCGCGGCGUAUUAGCUAGAUGGUGGGGUAACGGCUCACCAUGGCAAUGAUACGUAGCCGACCUGAGAGGGUAAUCGGCCACAUUGGGACUGAGACACGGCCCAAACUCCUACGGGAGGCAGCAGUAGGGAAUCUUCCACAAUGGACGAAAGUCUGAUGGAGCAACGCCGCGUGAGUGAAGAAGGGUUUCGGCUCGUAAAACUCUGUUGUUAAAGAAGAACAUAUCUGAGAGUAACUGUUCAGGUAUUGACGGUAUUUAACCAGAAAGCCACGGCUAACUACGUGCCAGCAGCCGCGGUAAUACGUAGGUGGCAAGCGUUGUCCGGAUUUAUUGGGCGUAAAGCGAGCGCAGGCGGUUUUUUAAGUCUGAUGUGAAAGCCUUCGGCUCAACCGAAGAAGUGCAUCGGAAACUGGGAAACUUGAGUGCAGAAGAGGACAGUGGAACUCCAUGUGUAGCGGUGAAAUGCGUAGAUAUAUGGAAGAACACCAGUGGCGAAGGCGGCUGUCUGGUCUGUAACUGACGCUGAGGCUCGAAAGUAUGGGUAGCAAACAGGAUUAGAUACCCUGGUAGUCCAUACCGUAAACGAUGAAUGCUAAGUGUUGGAGGGUUUCCGCCCUUCAGUGCUGCAGCUAACGCAUUAAGCAUUCCGCCUGGGGAGUACGGCCGCAAGGCUGAAACUCAAAGGAAUUGACGGGGGCCCGCACAAGCGGUGGAGCAUGUGGUUUAAUUCGAAGCUACGCGAAGAACCUUACCAGGUCUUGACAUACUAUGCAAAUCUAAGAGAUUAGACGUUCCCUUCGGGGACAUGGAUACAGGUGGUGCAUGGUUGUCGUCAGCUCGUGUCGUGAGAUGUUGGGUUAAGUCCCGCAACGAGCGCAACCCUUAUUAUCAGUUGCCAGCAUUAAGUUGGGCACUCUGGUGAGACUGCCGGUGACAAACCGGAGGAAGGUGGGGAUGACGUCAAAUCAUCAUGCCCCUUAUGACCUGGGCUACACACGUGCUACAAUGGAUGGUACAACGAGUUGCGAACUCGCGAGAGUAAGCUAAUCUCUUAAAGCCAUUCUCAGUUCGGAUUGUAGGCUGCAACUCGCCUACAUGAAGUCGGAAUCGCUAGUAAUCGCGGAUCAGCAUGCCGCGGUGAAUACGUUCCCGGGCCUUGUACACACCGCCCGUCACACCAUGAGAGUUUGUAACACCCAAAGUCGGUGGGGUAACCUUUAGA